GACGUAGGGCGCGAGCGUUGUCCGGAUUUAUUGGGCGUAAAGAGCUCGUAGGCGGCUUGUCGCGUCGUCCGUGAAAACUUGGGGCUCAACCCCAAGCUUGCGGUCGAUACGGGCAGGCUCGAGUUCGGUAGGGGAGACUGGAAUUCCUGGUGUAGCGGUGAAAUGCGCAGAUAUCAGGAGGAACACCAAUAGCGAAGGCAGCUCGCUGGGACGGUACUGACGCUGAGGCGCGAAAGCGUGGGGAGCGAACAGG
rnacentral:rRNA from 1 species